UAAAACGUAGGAGGCAAGCGUUAUCCGGAGUUACUGGGCGUAAAGCGUGCGUAGGCGGGCUUGUAAGUGGGUGGUGAAAGCGCCCGGCUAAACCGGGCGAUGUCCAUUCAGACUGCAGGUCUAGAGGCGGAUAGAGGAGUGCGGAAUUCCGGGUGUAGCGGUGAAAUGUGUAGAGAUCCGGAGGAACACCAGUGGUGCAAACGGCGCUCUGGGUCCGUACUGACGCUGAAGCACGAAAGCGUGGGGAGCGAACGGGAUUAGAGACCCCGGUAGUCCACGCCGUAAACGAUGUCAACUAGGUGUCCACCCGGCUACGGUCGAGGGGGUGCCGAAGCUAACGCCAUAAGUUGACCGCCUGGGGAGUACGGUCGCAAGGCUA
rnacentral:rRNA from 1 species